UACGUAGGGUGCGAGCGUUGUCCGGAUUUAUUGGGCGUAAAGAGCUUGUAGGCGGCUCGUCACGUCGGGUGUGAAAACUCGCGGCUCAACCGCGAGCCUGCACCCGAUACGGGCGGGCUAGAGUUCGGCAGGGGAGACUGGAAUUCCUGGUGUAGCGGUGGAAUGCGCAGAUAUCAGGAGGAACACCGGUGGCGAAGGCGGGUCUCUGGGCAACUACUGACGCUGAGGAGCGAAAGCGUGGGGAGCGAACAGG
rnacentral:rRNA from 1 species